rnacentral:rRNA from 1 species
GAUGAACGCUGGCGGCGUGCCUAAUACAUGCAAGUCGAGCGAACAGACGAGGAGCUUGCUCCUCUGACGUUAGCGGCGGACGGGUGAGUAACACGUGGAUAACCUACCUAUAAGUCUGGGAUAACUUCGGGAAACCGGAGCUAAUACCGGAUAAUAUAUUGAACCGCAUGGUUCAAUAGUGAAGGGCGGUUUUGCUGUCACUUAUAGAUGGUUCCGCGCCGCAUUAGCUAGUUGGUAAGGUAACGGCUUACCAAGGCAACGAUGCGUAGCCGACCUGAGAGGGUGAUCGGCCACACUGGAACUGAGACACGGUCCAGACUCCUACGGGAGGCAGCAGUAGGGAAUCUUCCGCAAUGGGCGAAAGCUUGACGGAGCAACGCCGCGUGAGUGAUGAAGGUCUUCGGAUCGUAAAACUCUGCUAUUAGGGAAGAACAAAUGUGGAAGUAACUAUGCACGUCUUGACGGUACCUAAUCAGAAAGCCACGGCUAACUACGUG